AUAUUGGCUUCAACAACACAUAUAUUAAAAUUUAGACAAUACAGAGAAAGGUAGCAUGAGACCCAGUGCAAGGAUGAAACACAACAUCUGUGAAACAUUCCGGAUCUUU